rnacentral:misc_RNA from 1 species
GCUUGCAUGCACGGUUAGUUUCUUGGCUUGCUCUCUGUAGGUGAUUUAGGCCUGGUGUUUUUCAGUUCUCCCUUGAUGAUGUCUGGUACUACGCUCCUAUUUAGUGUUGUGGACCUGUGGGUAAGAAACUUAAGUUCCUUAUUUAUUUAUUUUUUUGGUGCGAUCAGUAAUGUACAAUGAGCAUCUAACAGCUAUCCAUAUUAAGAAACGCCUGGUCCUGUAUUCUUUUUCCUAUUUAAGUUUCUUCAGGCUGGCUAGUAUAUGCAAGAGUUCCUUUUUAAUGUAUUUGCCUAUGAGUUCUUAGUUCUAGUGUAUAGAUUGGGACUUAAUUCCAUUUUUUGUAAGGCAUAGAAUAUUAAUAUUGGUAUUUUUAGACUAAUACCCUUAUUAUCUAACUGAUGACUUUGACUAGUUGAUGAUCUAGGAACUUUGUGUACACUUUCUCUGCUGAUGCUAGGGUUGGGAUUCUUUCACAUUAUGAUUUUGUGUAUGGGCAAUGCUGGAGAUAAUUUUGCUAAUAUUAG